CUGUCAAGAUUUGCUCCAAUGGGAUAUGAAUAUAAAUGUCCCUCCGACCUGAGAUCGCCACAGUGACUUGCAAGCAACUCACUACACUUAGGCACUGCAUUACCUGAAUUUCUAAUUCAAUGACGGAAGGCUGCUGGGUGUAGUCAAGUACUUGACUUGUCAGUACGUGUGUCAAGAUGGGAUUGACCACUCCAGUUUAGGAGCUGUGUACAGUCGUGUUUCAAUUUAGCAAAAUCUUGGCCAGGGUAGUCCUAGUGAGGAGUCACAGGACUAAUUGAGUUGAGCACGAUUCGGAUGAUCUCAUCAGGGUUGACAGUUUAACCCUGAGUCGUCCUAAACACAGGGGUCAAAAGGGAUGAAUUAUAUGGUAACCA
rnacentral:lncRNA from 1 species